GUAGUCCACGCCGUAAACGAUGUCUACUAGCCGUUGGGAUCCUUGAGGUCUUAGUGGCGCAGCUAACGCAAUAAGUAGACCGCCUGGGGAGUACGGUCGCAAGAUUAAAACUCAAAUGAAUUGACGGGGGCCCGCACAAGCGGUGGAGCAUGUGGUUUAAUUCGACGCAACGCGAAGAACCUUACCAGGUCUUGACAUCCAGAGAACUUUCCAGAGAUGGAUUGGUGCCUUCGGGAGCUCUGAGACAGGUGCUGCAUGGCUGUCGUCAGCUCGUGUCGUGAGAUGUUGGGUUAAGUCCCGUAACGAGCGCAACCCUUGCCCUUAGUUGCCAGCGAGUAAUGUCGGGAACUCUAAGGGGACUGCCGGUGACAAACCGGAG
rnacentral:rRNA from 1 species